UGGGGAAUAUUGGACAAUGGGGGGAACCCUGAUCCAGCCAUGCCGCGUGUGUGAAGAAGGCCUUAUGGUUGUAAAGCACUCUAAGCGAGGAGGAGGCUCUCUUGGUUAAUACCCAAGAAGAGUGGACGUUACUCGCAGAAUAAGCACCGGCUAACUCUGUGCCAGCAGCCGCGGUAAUACAGAGGGUGCGAGCGUUAAUCGGAUUUACUGGGCGUAAAGCGUGCGUAGGCGGCGUUUUAAGUCGGAUGUGAAAUCCCCGAGCUUAACUUGGGAAUUGCAUUCGAUACUGAGAAGCUAGAGUAUGGGAGAGGAUGGUAGAAUUCCAGGUGUAGCGGUGAAAUGCGUAGAGAUCUGGAGGAAUACCGAUGGCGAAGGCAGCCAUCUGGCCUAAUACUGACGCUGAGGUACGAAAGCAUGGGGAGCAAACAGG
rnacentral:rRNA from 1 species